rnacentral:rRNA from 1 species
AAAGCACUCUGAAAAGAGAGUUCACAAGUCCAUGAAACUGUAUACUGCAAAGUGAAUGGCUGAGUAUCAUAUCUUUGCAAUCUGUCUGUUGGUGCUUCUGUGGAUGCGAUGUGUAUCCAAUAAUCAAAUGCCUCGGUUUUAUGCACCUUUACAGCUGGUUGUGUAAGUUGUAGUUUGCUGAACAGGUCAGAGGAAGUGGUGUUGUAUGAGGAACCUUUAUUAGGUCCCUAAUUACGAUAUCCACAAUGAUGAAAGUAUAAUUAUGUAUCAUCGUGUUUCUGACAGUAUCAGUGAUAAAUAUGGCCUUUUAUGUGUACUGAUGUUAUGGUUAAGGCAUUUUUUAUGUAAAAGUGCCUAAUAAUGGCAAUAGUAGAGAGUGCCUAACGGGGAGGACAAAAAAUGGCACUCAGCAUUCGGGCCGUCUUGAAACACGGACUAAGGAGUUCAACUUGAACGCGAGUUGUUUUCUAUUGAGAAUUUUGAUUGCGAAGUGAAAACAACUCUUAAGAGAGAAGUUAACUAAUUAGUAUGUAGAUUCAUACUAUAAAAGAUGAGCACAAGUGAUGGGUGGUACGACUUUGUGCUGACUGCACCUGAGCGUUCAAGCUGAGACCCGAAAGAUGGUGAACUAUACCAGAGUAGAAUGAAGCCAGGAGAAAUUCUGGUGGAAGUUCGUAGCGGUUUUGACGUGCAAAUCAAUCGCAGCACUUUGGUAUAGGGGCGAAAGACUAAUCGAACCGUCUAGUUGCUGGUUCCUUCCGAAGUUUCCCUCAGGAAAGCUAGCGUGUGUUAAUUAGUUUUACCUGGUAAAGCUAAUGAUUGGAGGGAUCGGAGUUGUAAUAUCUUUGACCUACUCUCAAACUUAAAACGGAUAAGGAGUCACUUGCUUCUUUAUUGAGCAGUGAUUUUGAAUAGAACACGCCAAGUGGGCCAUUUUUGGUAAGCAGAACUGGCGAUGUGGGAUGAACCAAACGGCGAGCUAAGGUGCCAAAAACACCUCUCAAGAGAUGCCAUGAAAGGUGUUAGUUGAUAUAGACAGCAGGACGGUGGCCAUGGAAGUCGGCAUCUGCUAAGGAGUGUGUAACGACUCACCUGCCGAAUCAACUAGCCCUGAAAAUGGAUGGCGCUAUAGACGUGAUCCGAUGCUCGCCCGUUGAGAUUAUUCGUUUAUUGGUAUAAAAAAGCUCUCAAUGUGUAGGAGGGCUGUGACGUUAACUUUGAAGCGCACAAUGUGAGUUGGCGUUGAGUUGGCGCUCGAGCAGAUCUUAGUGGCAGUAGCGAGUAUUCAAAGAAACCGUUUGAAGACUGAAGUGGAGAGGGGUUCCAUGUUAACAUCAUUUGAACAUGGUUCAGCCGAUCCUAAGAGUGUGUGAAAUUCUGUGAAAUAGUGUUGGACAUAUGUCUAAGCAAUCGAAAGGGAAUCGGGCUAAGAUUCCCGAGCCAAGAUGCAGGUUCUGAUAUGCUUUUUUGUGAAGCGUAUCAAUAGCGGUGACGCAAUUAAACCCAGAAAGUGUCAUGCGAUGCUCGGGGAAGAGUUCUCUCUUCUUUGUUAGGUACGCUAACCCUGGAAUUGCAUUUUUCGGAGGCAGGGAAGAAUUACCGUAUUGCCACAUGGCUCUUGUGUGGCACCGAUCACAUCGAAUGAUCCUUGAAAAUCUGGGAGCGUGAUUAAGCCUUGCUCUUGAUCGUACCUAAUUCCGCAUCAGGUCUCCAAGGCGUAUAGCCUCUAGUCUAUGAGACAAAGUAGGCAAGGGAAGUCGGCAAAUUAGAUCCGUACCUUUGGAAAAAGGAUUGGCUCUGAAGGCUGAGUCGAUCGGGCUGUUGUAGUAGGCGGCGAGAGCGUUAUGGGUCUGGUCAACGGAUGAUAUUGCUCAACCGGAGUUCGGACCUUGCGCUAUUCGUAUUGCUAAUGACAUCAGCUUGUCAACGCAUUCGUGUAAUUGACAAUAACUGGUCGGCGGCAGACAGUCGUGUCAGAACUGGUACGGACAAGGGGAAUCCGACUGUUUAAUUAAAACAGAGCAUUGCGAUAGCUAUCACCGGUGUUGACGCAAUGUGAUUUCUGCCCAGUGCUCAGAUUGUUAACGUGGCGAAAUCUAAAUAAGCGCGGGUAAACGGCGGAAGUAACUAUGACUUUCUCGAGGUAGCCAAAUGCCUCGUCAUCUAAUUAGUGACGCGCAUGAAUGGAUCAAUGAGAUUCCCACUGUCCCUGUCUACAGCCCGGCGAAACCACAGCCAAGGGAACGGGCUUGGAAUGAGACGGCGGGGAAAGAAGACCCUGUUGAGCUUGACUCUAGUCGGUUUUUGUGAAGAAACAUGAAAGAUGUAGGAUACGUGGGACCUUUGGGGUCGGUGAAAUACCACUGCUUUCAUUGUUACUUGACUCACUCGAUGAUCUUGUUGGCGAACACGCUAGUCGUCAAAAAUAAAUAUCCUGAUUUGGUAACAGGUUAAAUACUAUGCGAGAACAUUUGCCGAUCGGGAGUUUGACUGGGGCGGUACAUCUGUUAAAAUCUAACGCAGGUGCCCAAAGGUGAUCUCAGCGAGGACGGAAGCCUUGCUUAGCGUGAAAGGGCAAAAGAUUGCUUGAUCUUCAUUCCCAGUCGGGAUAUGGACGAUGAAAUUUUGGCCUAUCGAUCCUUUUGAAUUUACGGGUUUUGAGCAAGAGGUGUCAGAAAAGUUACCACAGGGAUAACUG